AAGAUUCUAUUCAUGGUUGUUAGCUGGGCACGCCUCUUCAAAAUUUUAGAGGGAUUUCAUUUUAUGCACUCAUGAAGAACUGGAAUUCCAUUAAGGAUGCUUGUUGUGCUUCUUGUUUUGGCAUGCUUGUUUGCAGAAAAUUGAAAGCCUACCUACCAAUUUGCAGCCCCAAAGAAAUCACCAAAGAAUAAACUGAUGUAUCGACUCACCAAUAGAAAGUUUCCCUAUGCAGGUAAGUUGUGUACACAUAUCCCUUUUUAUUUUCAAGCCAUUCCCUUGAUUUAUGCAAAACCAGGCUACCUAAAACUUAUGGACAACUCCCAUUGCCUUUGAACUACUAGAACUAGCAUGUGUGGAUUGGCAAAAGUGUGAAUGCACUUGCCUUAAAUGUUUCUAAGGUGCCUAGUUCUCUACAUGAAGUAAAUUUUUCUGAGGGAGUAUUGAAGAUCUCUGGAUAUUUAUUUGGUCAUUUUGAUACUUUCUCCCCAAAGGUAUGCAUGAUUCACAUCCACCUUGUAGAUGUAUUGAAGAAAUACUGUACGCAUGAUGUUUUGCAGGAAUCUAUUUAAUUCAUUUGAUAUAGCUAAGCAGGGUAGAGUCUCACUGGAUUUCAACCUGUUUGUUUACUGCAAUAUGGAUUUCAUCUCUUUUGCAUGUUCCUUCCUGCAACUUUUCUAGAACAAUAUUUCUAUUUUAUUUGCUAUAGAUUUUCUGUUAUUUCAGGUCCAGGAUGGCAAAAUUGAAGCUGAAGUUAAACUCACUGGAAUUCUCAACUUAGGAGUAUUGCAGCCUGUGGAAUCCAGAAAAUAUGGUACACCUAUUGCUCCUGGGUCAUAUGCACCAGUCCAUCAAUACUUCUUUGUUGCUCGUAUGGACAUGGCCAUUGAUUGUAGGCCUAGUGAAACAUUCAAUCAGUUGUAUGAUCACUACACCAAAAUCGAUUAUUAUUGCCAAUACAAUCUAUUUUCUAUGAGAUAGUAUAACCACUCCCAAUGGAUGGUUCGCCACACAAAAAAGGAUAUGCCUGUCCAUGAGCGAUUUUCAUCUAGAGACUUGGAACCCAAUGUGGUCUGUGGCAAGUUAAUUCUGGAAGCCCCUGUUGCUAUUAGCAAACACAAGUGGAAGGAGAAAUGCACCAAGUUUCAUCAUUCAAAGGGAAGGAGAAAUGUAAUCACAGAUACGAAAAGGUAAUCUACCAUCUAUCAGCGUUAUAUCCAAGGAAGUAGAAAUAAUAGUUGCUCUGUAUUUCUUUUGGACUGGGAGGAUGCAGGCUGUAGCUAUCUCGUAUUAAUAUUUUGGCAGCUUGCAAUGUUUGAGUAUCUGACACAAGCAAGUUUUGUAGUUUACAAUUUUAUUUUAUUUUUUUGUCUUCAAAAAAGAAAUGGUUAUUUUAGAUAGGUAAUCUGCCAUCUAUAUCUCCCUUACCAUUCGUAUCCCCACUUGGUCUAGAACGAGCCCCCCUCGGGUCAGGAGUGCAUCGAGCAUAUCCAAAAACCAAGUACAUAAAAGGCCAUCACAUUGUGGAGCUCUUCAUCUGCUUGACGGACUUUCAUUGAAUUGUCUUUUUAUUUUGAAGUCUUCCAUUGCAAAUUUUAGUUUUUACUUUCAGGUUUGCAAGUCAGAAAAAUAAUGUUUCAAAUUACAUCAUGGUUGUUUUUACUAUCUUUUGAUUCUUAAAUGAAUAUGGCUUAAAUA